CCCUCCCACCUAGAUUGCAAUCUCCUGCUAGAGUCAAGGCCUCCGCUCCCUGUGAAUAAACCAUGGAACGCGACACAGGUCUGGACAUGGUACAGACCCGUCUUACCACUGUGGCUCGUGGAAUCCCCAGUUACAGGAGUUCAUCCCUCCAGCAGCCGGCCCUUCGUGCUGGGACUCCCCAGGCCCUGCUCAGGAAAGUGACCCCAGGAACCACAAGGUGGCGCUGUUCUCACAACCGUCCAGUCCCCUGAAACCUCCCGGCACCUGAGCCUAAAACAUACUCCAGUAUUUGGAAGAAGAGGCUUUCCCUGGACCAGUUGUUGAAUUCUUUCUCGGCCUUCAGCUGCCAAAGGUUGUUCAGACUCAGGAAUGCGGCUACGAAAAACACUCUGCGCUGAGUGCAGUGCAGGCUGCAGCUCCUCGCCAGUUCUCCUCUACAAAGGAAUUCAAUACCCAGAGGCCCUCGGGCACGCCUAACACAUACGGAAGGAAUGCGUGCACGCUAAGCAGUAGCACGUGCGUCGGCGCGUGCGUGAACAGGGCAGCCAGAGCCAGAGGACGCUGGUGUCAGAUUGUUUAGCAUUGCAGGUGUGGAGGCAGAAGAGUCUCUCCCCGAUUCUCUUCCAACUGUGAUGACAGCCCAGGGGAGAAUGAUGGUCAUGCAUGACACGUCCAUCCAGCUCUGUUCACCACGAGCCUUUUCAGCAACUGUGGUCCUGCAUGACGCUCACACUGUCCCUGAGAGUCGGGAAAGGGAUGACACUGCCUGUGGGGAAGCCUUGGCCUCCUGCACAAUGGACUGAAAAAUGAUGAUAAGACAAUGCACCUGCCUUCAAGAUGUCGUGGUUCACUGAGGAUGAUUCAAAAGUUACAAACCAAGGGACAAAGCCCCAAGCACUGCAACAGGAACUGACAACACAACGACCAUGUGUGCUUGAGGUAAGAGGCUGACACGCCAGGGGCUGGGCAGAGGCCACGGACCUGCUCUCUUGGGAGCUACCUGAGUCAUCCAAGGCUGCAUUCAGUGCAUCUCUCCUGAUCUUCUCCGGUCUGCUGCCGAGCUGCUGAGUAAGCCCCCCUUUCAGGUGACUCCCAGGAAACUGGUUUAGCAGCACAGCAGAAAGUCCAGGCAGCUGGGGGGGGGGGCAGGAAGCAGAAGAUGGGCCUCCAUUCAGAAGCCGGCAGCUGCAGGAAUCUUUCGCUGCACCACGAGGCUCGUCCUGUCCCCUGACCUUGGGCUCCAGGAGUGCAUCCAGGCUGGGCAACAAAGAAGGGCAUGCCCCGUAAACUUGAGUUGAUUUUAAUGUCAGCUGGCUUGCUCAGUCCCUCUUUAAAGGAAUUUCAUGUCCACCUGGCCACAAUUUGGUUUUACUCCUGUGUGUGCUGGUGGCUCAGGACGCUGGCUGUGGCCACCUAACCCGGCCGCAGAGCGCAUCACGACAGAGUCUCUGAUGCAUGAGCUCCCCUUCGCCGCGCGCAGAACUUCAAGGGCUCUUCCAGCCGUGCAUCUAGCAAAAGUAAGAAAGCAUGCUUAGACCCAGGGAGCAAGGUUUAAAUUGUGUUUUUCUUGCUCUUUCUCUUUCUUCUUUGAGGAUCUGCCUAAUAACCUGCAGUACCAUGGGAGAUACAUAUUUGGUCUUUGCCCCCAGUUCCUGGUACACAUCUCCAAAAACUCUCAGAAUCUCUGAAACGAUGAGUGUCAUCUUGGUAUAAGAUGACUGGUGGCUGGGGGUCCCUAGACAGCUACCGGGUGGGAGCAGGUCACCAGAAAGACCAGGGCUUGAUUAGAGGGUUGGAGCUUUCAACCCCACCCCCUGACCUUCGGGGAGGGGAGAGGCUUGGAUGGAGUUACUCAUCAGUGACCAUUGAUUCAGUGAAUUGUGCCUCUGUAGUGAAACCUCUGUGAGAGCCCUUCAGUGACAAAGUUCGGAGAGCUUCCCAGAUGGUGAGCACCUCAAGGUGCUGGGAGGGUGGCCCGCCCAGAGAGGGCUUCACACCCCUCCCCACAUACCUCGCCCUGUGCGUCUCUUCCAUUGGCUGUUCCUGUGCUGUUUCCUUUAUAGUAAACCAGUAAUAGCAAGUAAAGCUCUUUCCUGAGAUCUGGGAGCUCUUCUGGCAAAUUGUUGAACCUGAGGGUGAGGGUCAUGGAGCCCCAGGUUAUAACUAGCUGGUCAGAAGUAGCUGGGACUCGUGACUGGCAUCAGAAACGGGGAUGGUCGUGUGGGCCUUGACCUGAGGGUCUGCACUAACCCCCGGUGAAUAGCAUCAGAAUUGAUCUGAGUUGUUGGACACCCAGUCAGCAUCCAGGGUGUUGCAGACUGGUGGCUGGUGUGGGAAAACCCUGUCAGAAGUGUCAGAACCACUUGUACGGUUCAUUCACUGUUCGCAGUAUCCCCAGCCCAGGGCCCUUUACCCGCACAAUCUCAUUAACGCACCUGACAACCCCAGGUGGUAGGUACUGUCAUUGUGCCCAUGUUACAGAUGUGAAGCCUGGGGCUGAGAGUAACAGAAGCUGAGAGCUGGGAUUUCAACCCUGGUCUAACUCUGAAGUCAACAUUGUGUUUUAAAACAACUCAUUUGUUUGCUUUUAAUUUUUUGCGUAGGUACUACGUCUACAAUUUGCAAAUUUCACCAGGUACAGAGGGUUAACACGGGACAGUCCUCUGCUGACAAACGCACGGUGCUGUGCGCACACUGUUUUGCACUUGUUUAUUCAGCAAGGAUUCGUUAGGUGCUCCCACGUGUGAGGCUCUGUUCUAGGAGCUGGGAACAGAGAUGAUCGAAACAGCAAAGCCUCUGUUCAUCUGUUUUUAUAGAGCUGACAUUCUGGAGGGCAAAGAGAGACCUUCAAACCUACACACACACACAUACACAUACAUACACAGAGGGAGAGAGAGAGAAAGAAUAUUCUGUGUAUUUUAGGAGGUGAUAAAUGCUAUUAAGAAACCAAAGCAGAGGACAGAGAAUGAUGAGGAGAGUUGCUAUCUUAGAUGUGGUUUGGAGAUCCCUCAGAUAAGGUGACAUUUGAGAGACACGAAGAAAGUGAAGAAGGUACCUGAUAAGGGUGUAGCAUCUGGAACAGGUAAAGGGCUCUUCUAACUCAACAACAAAAAGACAAGCAGCCCCACUUUUAAAAAUGGGCAAAGGACUUAAAUAGGCACAUCUCCCAAGAAGAAAAACAGUCAACAGACAUGUGAAAAGACAUUCAACAGUUUACACCUUACAUCCAGUAUCAUCAGUCACUGGAAAAAUACAAAUCAAAAUGACUUCACCCCCAUCAGAAUGGCUAUAAUAAAAAAAAAUGGAAAAUAAGUAUUGGUGAGGAUGUGGAG